rnacentral:lncRNA from 1 species
AGCUAGGAAAAGCAAGAAAUGGGUCUGAAAAGCCCCAUCCUCUGGUGUUUUGGAGACUCUGACUGUUUCAGCUGUUGAUUUUCUCUUUGUUUUUAGGGACCGCUGGGCAAACCUGGUCUUCCUGGCAUGCCUGGUGCAGAUGGUCCUCCGGGUCAUCCUGGCAAGGAAGGACCUCCUGGAGAGAAGGGCAGUCAGGGUCCGCCAGGUCCUCAGGGCCCCAUCGGUUAUCCAGGACCACGUGGAGUCAAGGUAAGGAGGAAACAGAAACAGCGUCAUAAAAUCAUAGAAUGGUUAGGGUUGGAAGGGACCUCAAAGAUCAUCGAGUUCCAACCCCCCUGCCAUGGGCAGGGACAC